rnacentral:rRNA from 1 species
CCCGCAACGAGCGCAACCCUUGUGUUAGUUUGCAAACAAGGUCAAGCUGUGCACUCUAGACAGACUGCCGUGGACGAACACGGAGGAAGGUGGGGAGUGACGUCAAAUCAUCAUGCCCCUUAUGAUCUGGGCUACACACGUGCUACAAUGGCCGGUACAACGGGCAGCGAAGGAGCGAUCCGGAGCGAAUCCUAAAAAGCCGGUCCCAGUUCGGAUUGCAGGCUGAAACUCGCCUACAUGAAGUUGGAGUUGCUAGUAAUCGCGAAUCAGAAUGUCGCGGUGAAUGCGUUCCCGGGUCUU